rnacentral:rRNA from 1 species
GGCUGUCGUCAGCUCGUGUCGUGAGAUGUUGGGUUAAGUCCCGCAACGAGCGCAACCCUCGUCCUUAGUUGCCAGCAGUUUGGCUGGGCACUCUAAGGAGACUGCCUUCGCAAGGAGGAGGAAGGUGAGGACGACGUCAAGUCAUCAUGGCCCUUAUGGCUAGGGCUACACACGUGCUACAAUCGGGCGUACAGAGAGUUGCGAUACCGCGAGGUGGAGCCAAUCUCAUAAAGCGUCUCUCAGUUCGGAUAGCAGUCUGCAACUCGACUGCUUGAAGCUGGAAUCACUAGUAAUCGUAGAUCAGCAAUCUCCGGUGAAUACGUUCCCGGGUCUUGUACUCACCGCCCGUCACACCAUGGGAGUUGCUUUCACCCGAAAUUGGGAAUCUAACCUUCGGGAGGCUACCACUUACGGUGGAAUUAGCGACUGGGGUGAAGUCGUAACAAGGUA